CUUAGCUUCUGUAUCUUCAUCUUUCACUGGAGGCCAAUAGAUUCUACUUCACAGCGUGAUUUUAGGAAUUAAAUAAUGGUAGAAAUUAAAAGGAGAAGAACAUGAGAACUUUCCAAGUCUGCUUGAAAUAAAAUCAGAAGCACAUCACUGUCUCGCAAAGACCGAUCCUGAUGGGGCUGCCACUGGGGAUCAGCAGGGAGGGCCACUUGCCCACACAACCUGUGUGCAAAGAUCGAAGACCCA